CACGUAGGGUGCGAGCGUUGUCCGGAAUUAUUGGGCGUAAAGAGCUCGUAGGCGGUGUGUCGCGUCGGCCGUGAAAACCUGCAGCUUAACUGUGGGCUUGCGGUCGAUACGGGCGGGCUGGAGUUCGGUAGGGGAGACUGGAAUUCCUGGUGUAGCGGUGAAAUGCGCAGAUAUCAGGAGGAACACCGGUGGCGAAGGCGGGUCUCUGGGCCGAUACUGACGCUGAGGAGCGAAAGCGUGGGGAGCGAACAGG
rnacentral:rRNA from 1 species